GUUGAUCCUGCCAGUAGUCAUAUGCUUGUCUCAAAGAUUAAGCCAUGCAUGUCUAAGUACAAGCCUAAUUAAGGUGAAACCGCGAAUGGCUCAUUAAAUCACACCUAAUAUACUGGAUAUUCUCAGUUAUACUUGGAUAACUGCGGUAAUUCUGGAGCUAAUACAUGCGCAAAAAUCCAGAACGAAAGUGACGGAUGCUUUUAUUAGAUCAAAACCAAACGGGGCAACCCGUAACCUUGGUGACUCUGAAUAACUUUUGCAGAUCGCAUGGCUUUAUGCCGGCGACGUAUCCUUCUAAGGUGUGCCCUAUCAACUGUCGACUGUGGCAUAGACGCCCACAGUGGUUUUGACGGGUAACGGGGAAUCAGGGUUCGAUUCCGGAGAGGGAGCCUGAGAAACGGCUACCA
rnacentral:rRNA from 1 species